rnacentral:snRNA from 1 species
AUAGCUUGUCGAAUAAAGGUAUAUUAAUCUGUUCUUAUCAGCUUAAUAUCUGAUACGCUCUCUAGUAAAGAGCCAGAAUAUUAAACUGAUUUUUGGGACCAGGUGGAUUUUCGGAGCUCGCUCCGGCUCCGCCGCGGGUUGACCCGGCAUUGCAGUGCCGCUGGGACUCAGCCCUCUCACA